rnacentral:rRNA from 1 species
ACGAUAUGCUUUGGGGAGCUGUAAGUAAGCUUUGAUCCAGAGAUUUCCGAAUGGGGAAACCCAGCAUGAGUUAUGUCAUGUUAUCGAUAUGUGAAUACAUAGCAUAUCAGAAGGCACACCCGGAGAACUGAAACAUCUUAGUACCCGGAGGAAGAGAAAGAAAAUUCGAUUCCCUUAGUAGCGGCGAGCGAAACGGGAAGAGCCCAAACCAACAAGCUUGCUUGUUGGGGUUGUAGGACACUCUAUACGGAGUUACAAAGGACGACAUUAGACGAAUCAUCUGGAAAGAUGAAUCAAAGAAGGUAAUAAUCCUGUAGUCGAAAAUGUUGUCUCUCUUGAGUGGAUCCUGAGUACGACGGAGCACGUGAAAUUCCGUCGGAAUCUGGGAGGACCAUCUCCUAAGGCUAAAUACUCUCUAGUGACCGAUAGUGAACCAGUACCGUGAGGGAAAGGUGAAAAGCACCCCGGAAGGGGAGUGAAAUAGAACCUGAAACCGUGUGCUUACAAGUAGUCAGAGCCCGUUAAUGGGUGAUGGCGUGCCUUUUGUAGAAUGAACCGGCGAGUUACGAUUUGAUGCAAGGUUAAGCAGUAAAUGUGGAGCCGUAGCGAAAGCGAGUCUGAAUAGGGCGUUUAGUAUUUGGUCGUAGACCCGAAACCAGGUGAUCUACCCUUGGUCAGGUUGAAGUUCAGGUAACACUGAAUGGAGGACCGAACCGACUUACGUUGAAAAGUGAGCGGAUGAACUGAGGGUAGCGGAGAAAUUCCAAUCGAACCUGGAGAUAGCUGGUUCUCUCCGAAAUAGCUUUAGGGCUAGCCUCAAGUGAUGAUUAUUGGAGGUAGAGCACUGUUUGGACGAGGGGCCCCUCUCGGGUUACCGAAUUCAGACAAACUCCGAAUGCCAAUUAAUUUAACUUGGGAGUCAGAACAUGGGUGAUAAGGUCCAUGUUCGAAAGGGAAACAGCCCAGACCACCAGCUAAGGUCCCAAAAUAUAUGUUAAGUGGAAAAGGAUGUGGCGUUGCCCAGACAACUAGGAUGUUGGCUUAGAAGCAGCCAUCAUUUAAAGAGUGCGUAAUAGCUCACUAGUCGAGUGACACUGCGCCGAAAAUGUACCGGGGCUAAACAUAUUACCGAAGCUGUGGAUUGUCCUUUGGACAAUGGUAGGAGAGCGUUCUAAGGGCGUUGAAGCAUGAUCGUAAGGACAUGUGGAGCGCUUAGAAGUGAGAAUGCCGGUGUGAGUAGCGAAAGACGGGUGAGAAUCCCGUCCACCGAUUGACUAAGGUUUCCAGAGGAAGGCUCGUCCGCUCUGGGUUAGUCGGGUCCUAAGCUGAGGCCGACAGGCGUAGGCGAUGGAUAACAGGUUGAUAUUCCUGUACCACCUAUAAUCGUUUUAAUCGAUGGGGGGACGCAGUAGGAUAGGCGAAGCGUGCGAUUGGAUUGCACGUCUAAGCAGUAAGGCUGAGUAUUAGGCAAAUCCGGUACUCGUUAAGGCUGAGCUGUGAUGGGGAGAAGACAUUGUGUCUUCGAGUCGUUGAUUUCACACUGCCGAGAAAAGCCUCUAGAUAGAAAAUAGGUGCCCGUACCGCAAACCGACACAGGUAGUCAAGAUGAGAAUUCUAAGGUGAGCGAGCGAACUCUCGUUAAGGAACUCGGCAAAAUGACCCCGUAACUUCGGGAGAAGGGGUGCUCUUUAGGGUUAACGCCCAGAAGAGCCGCAGUGAAUAGGCCCAAGCGACUGUUUAUCAAAAACACAGGUCUCUGCUAAACCGUAAGGUGAUGUAUAGGGGCUGACGCCUGCCCGGUGCUGGAAGGUUAAGAGGAGUGGUUAGCUUCUGCGAAGCUACGAAUCGAAGCCCCAGUAAACGGCGGCCGUAACUAUAACGGUCCUAAGGUAGCGAAAUUCCUUGUCGGGUAAGUUCCGACCCGCACGAAAGGCGUAACGAUUUGGGCACUGUCUCAACGAGAGACUCGGUGAAAUCAUAGUACCUGUGAAGAUGCAGGUUACCCGCGACAGGACGGAAAGACCCCGUGGAGCUUUACUGUAGCCUGAUAUUGAAAUUCGGCACAGCUUGUACAGGAUAGGUAGGAGCCUUUGAAACGUGAGCGCUAGCUUACGUGGAGGCGCUGGUGGGAUACUACCCUAGCUGUGUUGGCUUUCUAACCCGCACCACUUAUCGUGGUGGGAGACAGUGUCAGGCGGGCAGUUUGACUGGGGCGGUCGCCUCCUAAAAGGUAACGGAGGCGCUCAAAGGUU